UUGAAUUUCCCUCUCACUGCUAAUUAACCCUAACCCGCUGCAACUUGUCGAUCCCUCCCAUAAACUUAAGCGUGGCCUCUUUUCCCUCUUUCGUUCGUUCUCACCAAUUUCUUUCUGUCAAGCAUGCGUUGCCUAGGUCAGAAAUACCAUGAAAAUAGCCCAACCACAACGUCCCAAUAGCCCAGCAAUUUAACUUUGUUUUGCUAUGCCAAAAACAGAGCAACCCAGUCCAACGUUAAAGUUGCUGGGAAGUGCAAGGAAGAUGAUUGUCAUUGGGUGAGUGGCAGAGUCACAAGGUUCCGAUAUUCUGAAAGCUACCCAAUCCAACAUUAAAGUUGCUGGGAAGUGCAAGGAAGAUGAUUGUCAUUGGGCGAGUGGCAAAGUCACAAGGUUCCAAUAUUCUGCAAGCUACCCAGUCCAACGUUAAAGCUGUUGGGAAGUGCAAGGAAGAUGAUUGUUAGUGGGCGAGUGGCAGUCACAAGGUUCUGAUAUUCUGCAGCAACUAGAUAUAUAUAUAUAUAUAUUUUUGUUAUAUUUCUGCAGCAACUAUUCGAAAUAUUUAUUUGUUUGAUUCAAGGUACUGAUAUUCAUGUAAAGUGUUGAUUUUAAUUCAUUAUUAAUGUUGGACACCAAUAA